rnacentral:misc_RNA from 1 species
GCUCUCCCCUUUUCUAAGAGCUGAGAGUUCAAGACAUACUGAGAUUGCUGAUUCCAACAACCUGGUGGCAGAAUCAGAUGCAUGCCAUGACAGCAGUUCUGGUGAAGCAUAUACAGAUCCUGUAUCUGAUUCUAUAAUGAACAGUAGUAGUUCCAAGGCAUUGGCAUUAUUGAGACUGUCACUUCAGUUAGCUGAUGAAAGUAAUACAUUAACUGAUCUUUCAGUGGGAGAAGAGGAAGUCAUCAGAUUGUCCUCAUCAGCAACAGCAAUAAUAGUAUAUGUAGAUUGGUCUCAGGAGCUCUUAGAGAGCUAUGAUACCCAUUACUUGGAAAACUUAUCUGAAGUGCUCAAAUAUGGACCUGUGAAU